rnacentral:rRNA from 1 species
GAUGAACGCUGGCGGCGUGCCUAACACAUGCAAGUCGAACGGAGAUUUAACGCUGAUGAGGCUUCGGCGGAUUCUUGUUAAAUCUUAGUGGCGGACGGGUGAGUAACGCGUGGGCAACCUGCCUCAUACUGGGGGAUAACAGUUGGAAACGACUGUUAAUACCGCAUAAGCGCACAGCAUCGCAUGAUGCAGUGUGAAAAACUCCGGUGGUAUGAGAUGGGCCCGCGUCAGAUUAGCUAGUUGGCGGGGUAACGGCCCACCAAGGCGACGAUCUGUAGCCGGACUGAGAGGUCGGACGGCCACAUUGGGACUGAGACACGGCCCAAACUCCUACGGGAGGCAGCAGUGGGGGAUAUUGCACAAUGGAGGAAACUCUGAUGCAGCGACGCCGCGUGAGUGAAGAAGUAUUUCGGUAUGUAAAGCUCUAUCAGCAGGGAAGAAAGGCUCGUAAGAGAGAUGACGUAC